CGACGCCGCGUGAGGGAUGACGGCCUUCGGGUUGUAAACCUCUUUCGUUAGGGAAGAAGCGAAAGUGACGGUACCUGCAAAAGAAGCGCCGGCUAACUACGUGCCACCAGCCGCGGUAAUACGUAGGGCGCAAGCGUUAUCCGGAAUUAUUGGGCGUAAAGAGCUCGUAGGCGGUUUGUCGCGUCUGCCGUGAAAGUCCGGGGCUCAACUCCUGAUCUGCGGUGGGUACGGGCAGACUAGAGUGAUGUAGGGGAGACUGGAAUUCCUGGUGUAGCGGUGAAAUGCGCAGAUAUCAAGAGGAACACCGAUGGCGAAGGCAGGUCUCUGGGCAUUAACUGACGCUGAGGAACGAAAGCAUGGGGAGCGAACAGGAUUAGAUACCCUGGUAGUCCAUGCCGUAAACGUUGGGCACUAGGUGUGGGGGACAUUCCACGUUUUCCGCGCCGUAUCUAACGCAUUAACUGCCCCGCCUGGGGAGUACGGCCGCAAGGCUAAAACUCAAAGGAAUUGACGGGGGCCCGCACAAGCGGCGGAGCAUGCGGAUUAAUUCGAUGCAACGCGAAGAACCUUACCAAGGCUUGACAUGGGCCGGACCGGGCUGGAAACAGUCCUUCCCCUUUG
rnacentral:rRNA from 1 species